CUAUUGGUGAUUCAGUGGUAGAAUUCUUGCCUUCCAUGCCAGAGACAGAGGUUCGAUUUCUGGCCAAUGCA
rnacentral:tRNA from 1 species